rnacentral:rRNA from 1 species
CGCACGGGUGAGUAACACGUAUCCAACCUGCCGUCUACUCUUGGACAGCCUUCUGAAAGGAAGAUUAAUACAAGAUGGCAUCAUGAGUCCGCAUGUUCACAUGAUUAAAGGUAUUCCGGUAGACGAUGGGGAUGCGUUCCAUUAGAUAGUAGGCGGGGUAACGGCCCACCUAGUCUUCGAUGGAUAGGGGUUCUGAGAGGAAGGUCCCCCACAUUGGAACUGAGACACGGUCCAAACUCCUACGGGAGGCAGCAU